AUACGUAGGGGGCGAGCGUUGUCCGGAAUGAUUGGGCGUAAAGGGCGCGUAGGCGGCCCGGUAAGUCUGGAGUGAAAGUCCUGUUUUUAAGAUGGGAAUUGCUUUGGAUACUGUCGGGCUUGAGUGCAGGAGAGGUAAGUGGAAUUCCCAGUGUAGCGGUGAAAUGCGUAGAGAUUGGGAGGAACACCAGUGGCGAAGGCGACUUACUGGACUGUAACUGACGCUGAGGCGCGAAAGUGUGGGGAGCAAACAGGAUUAGAUACCCUGGUAGUCCACACUGUGAACGAUGAAUGCUAGGUGUAGGGGGUAUCGACCCCUCCUGUGCCGGAGUAAACGCAAUAAGCAUUCCGCCUGGGGAGUACGGCCGCAAGGUUGAAACUCAAAGGAAUUGACGGGG
rnacentral:rRNA from 1 species